rnacentral:misc_RNA from 1 species
GUUGAAGAACGUAGCGAAAUGCGAUACUUGGUGUGAAUUGCAGAAUCCCGUGAACCAUCGAGUCUUUGAACGCAAGUUGCGCCUCAAGCCAUUAGGUUGAGGGCACGUCUGCCUGGGCGUCACAUAUCGUUGACUGAUGCCAGUUUCCUCGUGAUGGGUGACUGUGCAGGGCGAAUGAUGGCUUCCCGUGAGCAUUGUUGCCUCAUGGUUGGUUGAAAAUUGAGUCCUUGGUAGGGAGCGCCGUGAUAGAUGGUGGUUGAGUGACGAACGAGACCCAAUCAUGUGAGACCCCUACCGAAUUUGGCCUUCAUGACCCACAUGCGUCUUUGGAACGCUCAUGACGAGACCUCAGGUCAGGCGGGGCUACCCGCUGAGUUUAAGCAUAUCAAUAAGCGGAGGA